rnacentral:lncRNA from 1 species
UUACAAAAAGAAGGCACUUUAUUUAAGAGAAAUUCAUUUUACAAGUCAUCUUCUUUAUAAAUUUCAGGUAAAAUUUUGGAAAGGAAAAGAAAUGAAAAAGGCUGCUGAAAGAAUCUUUGCACAGAAAGUUGUUUUUAAGCUGAGGUCAAAAACUUGAAUAGCAUUUUUCAUUUUACGUGCAUCAUGAAGAAUGCAGAUCCUCAUUGUUGCAUUAUCAGUGAAUUUCAAGUAGCUGCCACCCUCCGUGAUUAGGAUUCUAUUCACUGUUGCCUUUCUGCAGCUGUUCUGUGAGAAAUCAAGAUGGAGCAGGAAGAAAACGAGGUGUUUCCUUCCUUCCCUGCCUCUCAAAAAGUACUCUUCUCUGCUGAGGACUACAUGUACUAAUUCAUUUUUCUGGACACAAAACAGGAAGAAACUCCUAUAACACCUGUAAGGGAUUCUGUAAGGUAAAACUCUGCAUCACUUAAACAAUGCAAUGAUAAAUAUACUGGAAUAUGUCAAGAAGCUUAUUUGUUAAGUAACAACAAACAAAGAGAAAAAAACAAUCCCACCUUCUUUUGUCCUUAAAAGCAAAUUAAGUAAGUGACAUAACUUCAGUCUCUGAAAUGUCAUCCAUCAAAAGUUUGUAACAUUUUUGAAGCAGUAAUGAUCGAACCUGCUGUGACAUCUUCAUUGCCUCUGGGGUGCCAGAAAUUCUGCUGCUUUCCCAAACUGACAAUCAUGUAACUAUUUAGAAACUCUCUGGGGAGGUCAGCAUUAAAGCAGGCUGGAAGGAGCAAAAGUAGCACAUUCUUAAAUUGAAAAACUUGUUCAAGCUACCGUAUGCAUAACACCCCUAUUUUCAGUGUGUAAAAGCAAUUAUUUGUAGGAACUGUGUAUUAAUAGUGUCAUUCAGUUGGUCAUUUGAAAGCAUUUAGCAGGGAAAAGAUGAGUUGACAGUCUUCCUCAGACUGCCUCAGUCAGGGUGCAAAGAGUGCCAUAUGUGACACUCUGGGUUCAGCUGCCUGUUAGCUCUUACUGAUCCUGUGAGACUCAAGGGUAUGCUGCUCACUGAAAACACUUAAUACAUAGAAACACAUGGGAAAAUAUAUAGCAUUUGCCAUUGUAUUUCUCAAAAAGGAACAGUUGGAUAGAUACAUGUAAAUGGUGUUAUAAGGACAACCGUCUGGUUUGAAUUCU